CUGUGAGGCCGCUCACGAGACAAGCCCAGGCCCAGUACCAUCACAUGAUAGCAACAACGUGAUUCCUGCUGAAAUCAAUUUGCUAAGUGAAUUUACAAAGACUGUGGGCACUAGACGGAGGGGGUCGUGGAAAAGCUUGUAGGACAUAGAUGAACCAAUGCUGCCAACAUCUUUAAACAGCCCUUUGCAUGAUGUUUGCCAGUUGUUUAAAGGCAGCUGAAAAACCGAGGAUGCAAGCCCCUAAUGCUCCUGUUUACCCCAUCGUCACAUCUUAUCCUGUCGCCACAAAGGCUGGAAGCAGGUCGGAGUAUGUCUGUUUGGAGGAGCAGGCUUGUUUUUUGGCCCCUGACAACGCAAUUACAGCCUCGCCGAUUGUCGUGUGUGCGCAUUAAGUACCUCCCCCAGAACGAGGCCGAUUAAUGAAGGGGCUCCUCGGGGCCGAAGAAGAAGCCCCAGGCACCUACACGCAGAGGAGAAGAACUGAUGUUUAGGAUCUCUUCUUCCAAUCGGAGUCCGAGUGAAGUGCCGGCUGCCGUACCCUGACAGAAGCGACUGUGUGAUUGAAGAUGCUGGGGUUGGAAAGGGUGUUGGCAGCUAUAUUUCACCGCCGAGAUGGAUGGACUUCAUGAUGGAUGAUGAACAACUGUGAAAGUGAGGUGAAGGGGAGCAAGGAGGAGAGAAGGAGAACGACAUGGUAAAGGAGAGUUUAGCUUGCAUAGCAGACUUCUUCUCUAUCAUGACAAUGGUCAGUUGCUCUGCUCUGCUGGUGUAUAUUAGACGAGAGAAGGGCAGGAGUAAAACAGAAAGGCAGGCACUGGCAGCGAGUGUCUGACAGACCAUUACUGCAGACAAGCCCAUAACUCACACAGAUAAGAUGUAUUUGUGCAGUUUUUCUGACAGAUGUCCCCCCAGUCUCAUGCCCUGCUACUCAACAGCAUGGGGCUCUUCAGUCCUUAUGUUUAAGUGCGACUUUCCAUCAUCAUUUGGGGAAGUCCUGCUUACAUCGCAAAAUCCAUGAGACGAAUAAAACUCGUCAGUCACCGCUGAUUUUAUUCAGCAUGAUCUUAGUUUUACGUCUUACUCGAGCCAUAAAAAGCCUUCGUCAGUUUGAGCGCCACUGCUUUAGUCUGUAGCUGGGCCAGCCAGAGCCAAGGAGCAUCUUGCAGAGGCUUUCCUGCUGCUGCGGAUCACCUGGCAUGCCGGUCCCCCGAGAGCUGCCUGAGAGAUUGCGGCUAUUUGUGCCAUGUUUUGUUUCCUUUAUUUUCCUCGCACUUGUUUUUCGAGUGAUAUAGUGUCUGUUGGUAUGACGUCCAAAGAGCUAGACAGAAAAAAGAAAGGUAGGAAAGAGGAAAAGAAAGAAUGAGAGGAAAAGAGAGACAUCAGUGCAGAAGAUUUAAUUUGCCCAGCCAGACCUCAGAUGGGCCCCCGCAGUCAAGGGUUUAAUUUGGCUUAUCGCGUUAUAAAAGACGACCCGGGCCGGGUAAUCAAUCAUCAGCCUGUCAGUACGAAAGGCAGUUGUUGUAAGCAAGCAUGACUUCCCAACAUGAGUCUGUUUUAAUUGCCACCAAAUUGACUGCUUUGUUGUUUUUAAGGGAUGUACUAAAAGUUUGCUCAAUAAAAAACAACAAAAGCAGCAGAUCAUUAUUGUUGUCCCCUGCCCUGCCCCCUUUUCUUUGGUGGUGGUGGUGGUGGUUACGCAGCCAUCGUGGGUCAUGUUGACAAGUGAACGUGUUCCCUGAGUGGCGCCUGCGCAAUGUUAGGACCUGACAGUGUUUACAGGGCUGAAGGAUGUCAAACUGGCUUUGACCAUUACCCAGCUUAAUAGAGCAUAACUCUCUCGCGGCUCCAUUGCAGAACCUCCCUUGACAAAAUAAGUGCUAUCUUCAGUAAACAUGAAGUUACUGUGAAAGAUGAUCGCAUCUGUUUUGCUGGUGGAUAGAAAUUUAUGAUGCCCAAUACAUCAAGUCAGUAGUUUUUGUUUUAUUUUUUUCAAGGUAGCAGCAUGUGGUAAGAAAAAUGUAUUUCCCAGAUGAAUGUAAGACCUUGGGCCACUGGAAGCUCUCCGAAAGCACCACACUUGGAUUUUGGGAUGGGAAAAUACUGUUUUCCGUAAUCCCACAAGACCCGAGUUAGUGCACGUCUCCAGAUUGCUACUUGGAUAUUGCAUUAAUAAAAUAUAUUAAUGGCUCUGGAACUAAAGGGUUGAGCCCUUGUGUCUACUGGAGUGCACUAUGAAUGAGAUGAAGCUAUAAAUAAAUAUAUAAAAAUAUAACGACA